rnacentral:rRNA from 1 species
CUAUCAGCUUGUUGGUGAGGUAACGGCUCACCAAGGCGACGACGGGUAGCCGGCCUGAGAGGGUGACCGGCCACACUGGGACUGAGACACGGCCCAGACUCCUACGGGAGGCAGCAGUGGGGAAUAUUGCACAAUGGGCGCAAGCCUGAUGCAGCAACGCCGCGUGAGGGACGACGGCCUUCGGGUUGUAAACCUCUUUUAGUAGGGAAGAAGCGAAAGUGACGGUACCUGCAGAAAAAGCACCGGCUAACUACGUGCCAGCAGCCGCGGUAAUACGUAGGGUGCAAGCGUUGUCCGGAAUUAUUGGGCGUAAAGAGCUCGUAGGCGGUCUGUCGCGUCUGCUGUGAAAACCCGAGGCUCAACCUCGGGCCCGCAGUGGGUACGGGCAGACUAGAGUGCGGUAGGGGAGAUUGGAAUUCCUGGUGUAGCGGUGGAAUGCGCAGAUAUCAGGAGGAACACCGAUGGCGAAGGCAGAUCUCUGGGCCGUAACUGACGCUGAGGAGCGAAAGCGUGGGGAGCGAACAGGAUUAGAUACCCUGGUAGUCCACGCCGUAAACGUUGGGCGCUAGAUGUGGGGACCAUUCCACGGUUUCCGUGUCGCAGCUAACGCAUUAAGCGCCCCGCCUGGGGAGUACGGCCGCAAGGCUAAA